CGGAGUCUAGCAUGUGCGCGAGUCAUUGGGAUAAAACCUAAAGGCGCAAUGAAAGUAAAAGUUUGUCUUGCACGGCUUAGGGAAGAUGGGCUGCCUCGCAUUCCCGGGGCGUCUCAUUCUCAUUGCGAGAAGAGGCGCACCAAGAGCGUACACGCUGGGACCCGAAAGAUGGUGAACUAUGCCUGGUCAGGACGAAGUCAGGGGAAACCCUGAUGGAGGUCCGUAGCGAUUCUGACGUGCAAAUCGAUCGUCGGAACUGGGUAUAGGGGCGAAAGACUAAUCGAACCAUCUAGUAGCUGGUUCCCUCCGAAGUUUCCCUCAGGAUAGCUGGCGCUCAUUGUAUACGAGUUUCAUCCGGUAAAGCGAAUGAUUAGAGGCAUUGGGAUCGAAACGAUUUCAACCUAUUCUCAAACUUUAAAUGGGUGAGAUCUUCGGCUUGCUUGACUCGAAUCAGAGUGCCAAGUGGGCCAUUUUUGGUAAGCAGAACUGGCGCUGUGGGAUGAACCAAACGCAGAGUUAAAGCGCCUAAAACAACGCUUAUGGGAUACCAUGAAAGGCGUUGGUAACUUAAGACAUCAGGACGGUGGCCAUGGAAGUC
rnacentral:rRNA from 1 species